GCCGGGCGUGGUGGCGCAUGCCUGUAAUCCCAGCUACUCAUGAGGCUGAGGCAGGAGAAUCGCUUGAACCCAGGAGGUGGGGGUUGCGGUGAGCCGAGAUUGCACCAUUGCACUCCAGCCUGGGCAACAGAGCGAGACUCUGUCUCAA
ensembl:misc_RNA Metazoa_SRP Metazoan signal recognition particle RNA